UUUCUAUUGCUGAAAGGACAAUAAUGCAUCAGUAAAUGGAAUAAAGAAAAAUGUAUCAAUUGGAAUCAACUAUGUCGUCAAAUGUCCAUGCAGUUAUCUGGUUUCUCUUGCCCACAUGUGACAUCAUGAAAAGGGUUUUUAUGACAGAUGACGUUAUAACAGGAAAGUCAAUGCGGAGAAGCAGAGAUAGAUCACAUGUUAAAAAGGAGUUUUUUUAUGUAAUAACUUGACCAGCUUACUUAAAAACUGCGAGUAAAAGGCCUAGACAUAAAAAAAAAAGCCUAACGCCGUUACCUAUGAUGAGAAGACCAAUCCUUGACCGAAAUAUUACACAGUCUAGG